rnacentral:tRNA from 1 species
GCCCCUAUAGCUCAGUGGUAGAGUACAUCACUCGUAUAAACACAUGUGAUAUGAUGGGGUCCGUCGUUCAAUCCGGCGUGGGGGCA